UAUUUUAAUUAAAAAUCAAUAAUUUAAUAUUUAUAAAAUGCUACUUUUCCAUCUUGCAACACCGCCAACACUGGACAUUAGUUCCACGAGUAGCCGCUGUCGCAAGUAUCAAGAAGAACUGUCAAAUUUUUAAAAAAGUUUCACUGUUAGCUGAACCUCCAAAUAAAUAAGUUCCAAGUGGUCGGUGGCUUUUUGAACAAAAAAAGGAAUCACCUUUUAGUUAUUUUUUUUAUACGGAAGCUAUCGUAAUUAAGUUGAAGGAGGAGAAAGUUUUGUUUUGUUGAAGAAGAAAAGUAUUAAUUUGGUAAAAAUUUGGGAUGAUUGCUAUCGGCCACUUGGAACCACUUAAAUGUUCAUCCCACUAACAUCAGGGAUGAAAUGAAAUAAAAAACUUUAGCAGCAGUCACGGGGUAGCCUAGGAGCUGGAAUCGUCUUUUGAGUUGGUUUUUGGACUAUCAUUAUUUUGUUUGGAACUUUGGAAAAGACUUUACGUUAGUUGGUGUUGGACAGUGAUUAAG